rnacentral:rRNA from 1 species
UACGUAGGGUGCGAGCGUUGUCCGGAAUUAUUGGGCGUAAAGGGCUCGUAGGCGGUUUGUCGCGUCGGGAGUGAAAAUCCAGGGCUUAACUCUGGACUGGCUUUCGAUACGGGCAGACUAGAGGUAUGCAGGGGAGAACGGAAUUCCUGGUGUAGCGGUGGAAUGCGCAGAUAUCAGGAGGAACACCCAUAGCGAAGGCAGCUCGCUGGGACGGUACUGACGCUGAGGCGCGAAAGCGUGGGGAGCGAACAGG